GCCCUAUUUUUCUCUCAUAUAUAAACACAAAUUACUGCACAAAUUAUUCAAUCUGCCUGCGUGCUAUUUUUUCUUUGCAGAAAGUGUUGAAGGUGGUCAUCGAGAAGACGUGGUACAGACUCACUAUUCUAAUAUAGUGGCUUUUAAAAGGAGGUACUACUUCGGUGAUGAUCGACAGGAAUAUUCGUUCUGGAGAAAGAUUUUCUCUCACAUACUUCUCAUGACUCGACCGGUAUAGAUCCUUUUUUUUCAGGUCUACUAUGUUAAUGAAAAACCAUGAAUCCUGAGAAUAUUCUGUCUUAUGAACUCAUGCCACUCAUGAGUUCGCCAUCUCUAUGAGUCACAAGAACGAGGCUUUCUUUUAACUACCUAUCUUUAUCCUUAACUCAACCAACGUCGGAGCCAUCAAUUCAGAGCAUACUCUCAUCAAGAUCCUAACUUAUGACCUACCAACAACUCAUUCAUUCCUUGAUGCCUAUCCUUGUUGGAGCCUUAUUUUACAUUUUGAAGAUAUUUGAAGAAUAAACAUUUUUGCACCUAUCUCUAGGGAAAUUUACUCAAUUCUGAUAUGUAUUUAUAUAUUAAACUGGGACAUUAUCUAUAAUAUAUAUUCUACUGCUGAACUGACUACUCCUU
rnacentral:lncRNA from 1 species